GCCCGCGCCCCCGCCAUCUGCCCCCGGGGCGGGGCGCAGGCCGGAGUCGGGUUCCUGCCCAGCCCCCCUCGCCUAGCCCGCUGUGGAGCCGGGUGACCUGUGCACCCAAAUCCCCCCACCGCCGCUCCGGGCCCAGCUGCUCGUGGGGUGCCCCAGAGCCCCGGCAGGAAGACCCGAAUGGCAGGAUCCCCGGGCAAGAGAGAGCCAGGGCGCCCAAAUGCAACGGACCUAGGGCCCCUUCCGGGAACCUGGCCAGGGCCUCGUGGCUAGACUGGGAGAGGGGUCAGAGAACAGUGGACACUCAGAGGGGACUGGCUGAAGGUGUAACGAGCGGAGGAGGGCUCGGGCUGAAGGACAUCCCAGACCCCAUUCUCAGCUCUGUAGAGACACGUUGCAGAGCACAGCUGCCUCCAUCUCCCCAAGAUGGCCACCAAGGGUCUGAUGUGCUGGAAGUGGAGUGGCUCUGGCAUGAAAUUGAGCACCAAGACCCUCCACACUGCUUUCUCAAUGUCUUUCUGAUCUGUCUUCUGUACCCUUCCACUGCCAUCCUGGUCACAGCUGUACUGCGGUGACAGCAUGAAACGCAAACUAGGUUUUGUCCCUUCCAGCUAAAGUUCUUCAGGGGCUCCCCGCUGCCCGCUGAUCGGAUCUGUCAGAGUGUCUAGUAACCGGGUUAGGCCCACACCCCGGAACCAGCCUGCUGGCUGUUACAUCCUGAGGCCGCUGCUGCUUAUUGUGCCUUGAUUUCCCCACCCGUAGCAAGGGGGUGAUGAUAAUGACUGGGCAGUGUUCUGAGUGCUUUGCACAUCAUCAUGGAUCCAUUUAAUCCUUACAACUCUGAAGUAAAUAACUCGUUAUGCCUGCUUUACUGUGCACCCACAAUACCCACAAUAAAAGUAGAAUAAUAUGAGCGAGUACCUAGUGCAUACAGUUAUGAUUAAAUGAGUUAAUUCAUAUCAAAAUCUAGAAGAGCUUGGACACAUCUGGUGAUCAGUACAUUCUAGAUGGUACUCUUGACCCAGCCCAUCCUACCAACACCUUCUCCCAACUAACCUCCAGUCUCUCUGAAGCGUUGGUACCUGCCUCUUCACCUGUCCUAACCACCGCUCUUGUCCCCUCCCCAGCCUUCUGGCCUUUCUGUGUCCUAUCACCUGGCACAGAUUGGGGAUUUAAUACAGACUGAGGAAUGAAUGGAUGAGGUUUUGGGGGAAGAAGCUGGGCUGGAGGGAUUAUUCGAUGCUCACGCGCCCCCUGGUGGCCACCAUGGGCAUUCCAGGCCUUGGUCCAACCUUUAAA